AUACGUAGGGCGCGAGCGUUGUCCGGAUUUACUGGGUGUAAAGGGUGCGUAGGCGGCUCUGCAAGUCAGGUGUGAAAACCCUCGGCUUAACUGAUGGACUGCAUUUGAAACUGUGGGGCUUGAGUGGAGUAGAGGCAGACGGAAUUCCCGGUGUAGCGGUGAAAUGCGUAGAGAUCGGGAAGAACACCAGUGGCGAAGGCGGUCUGCUGGGCUCUAACUGACGCUGAGGCACGAAAGCGUGGGUAGCAAACAGGAUUAGAUACCCUGGUAGUCCAUGCCGUAAACGAUGAUUACUAGGUGUGGGGAGUCUGACCCUCUCCGUGCCGGAGUUAACGCAAUAAGUAAUCCGCCUGGGAAGUACGACCGCAAGGUUGAA
rnacentral:rRNA from 1 species